UACGUAGGGUGCAGGCGUUAAUCGGAAUUACUGGGCGUAAAGCGUGCGCAGGCGGUUUUGUAAGCCAGAUGUGAAAUCCCCGGGCUUAACCUGGGAAUGGCAUUUGGGACUGCAAGGCUGGAGUGCGGCAGAGGAGACUGGAAUUCCUGGUGUAGCAGUGAAAUGCGUAGAUAUCAGGAGGAACACCGAUGGCGAAGGCGGCCAUCUGGCUCGGUACUGACGCUCAGGCGCGAAAGCGUGGGGAGCAAACAGG
rnacentral:rRNA from 1 species